GAUGAACGCUGGCGGCGUGCUUAACACAUGCAAGUCGAACGGUGAACACGGAGCUUGCUCUGUGGGAUCAGUGGCGAACGGGUGAGUAACACGUGAGCAACCUGCCCCUGACUCUGGGAUAAGCGCUGGAAACGGCGUCUAAUACUGGAUAUGUGACGUGACCGCAUGGUCUGCGUUUGGAAAGAUUUUUCGGUUGGGGAUGGGCUCGCGGCCUAUCAGCUUGUUGGUGAGGUAAUGGCUCACCAAGGCGUCGACGGGUAGCCGGCCUGAGAGGGUGACCGGCCACACUGGGACUGAGCCGCGGCCCAGACUCCUACGGGAGGCAGCAGUGGGGAAUAUUGCACAAUGGGCGCAAGCCUGAUGCAGCAACGCCGCGUGAGGGAUGACGGCCUUCGGGUUGUAAACCUCUUUUAGCAGGGAAGAAGCGAAAGUGACGGUACCUGCAGAAAAAGCGCCGGCUAACUACGUG
rnacentral:rRNA from 1 species